UUACUAAGCGGUGUUCGAGCACAAAGAAUUUUGAUUUCUUUAGAGAGAGUAACCUCCUAGUAAU
rnacentral:tRNA from 1 species